GAUGAAGAACGCAGCGAAAUGCGAUAAGUAAUGUGAAUUGCAGAAUUCAGUGAAUCAUCGAAUCUUUGAACGCACAUUGAGCCCCUUGGUAUUCCGAGGGGCAUGCCUGUUCGAGCGUCAUUAUAACCCCUCAAGCUCAGCUUGGUGUUGGGGCCUGCUGCACUGGCAGCCCUUAAAAUCAGUGGCGGCGCCAUCUGGCUCUAAGCGUAGUAAUUCUUCUCGCUAUGGAGUCCUGGUGGAUGCUUGCCAUCAACCCCCAAUUUUUCUAUGGUUGACCUCGGAUCAGGUAGGGAUACCCGCUGAACUUAAGCAUAUCAAUAAGCGGAGGA
rnacentral:misc_RNA from 1 species